AAUGUCUGGGAAACUGCCCGAUGGAGGGGGAUAACUACUGGAAACGGUAGCUAAUACCGCAUAACGUCUUCGGACCAAAGUGGGGGACCUUGGGCUCACACAUCGGAUGUGCCCAGAUGGGAUAGCUAGUAGGUGAGGUAAUGGCUCACCUAGGCGACGAUCCCUAGCUGGUCUGAGAGGAUGACCAGCCACACUGGAACUGAACACGGCCAGACUCCUACGGGAGGCAGCAGUGGGGAAUAUUGCACAAUGGGCGCAAGCCUGAUGCAACCAUGCCGCGUGUGUGAAGAAGG
rnacentral:rRNA from 1 species